AACGAACGCUGGCGGCAUGCCUAACACAUGCAAGUCGAACGAGACCUUCGGGUCUAGUGGCGCACGGGUGCGUAACGCGUGGGAACCUGCCCUUAGGUUCGGAAUAACUCCCCGAAAGGGGUGCUAAUACCGGAUAAUGUCUUCGGACCAAAGAUUUAUCGCCUUUGGAUGGGCCCGCGUUGGAUUAGCUAGUUGGUAGGGUAAAAGCCUACCAAGGCGACGAUCCAUAGCUGGUCUGAGAGGAUGAUCAGCCACACUGGGACUGAGACACGGCCCAGACUCCUACGGGAGGCAGCAGUGGGGAAUAUUGAACAAUGGGCGAAAGCCUGAUCCAGCAAGGCCGCGUGAGUGAUGAAGGCCUUAGGGUUGUAAAGCUCUUUUACCCGGGAUGAUAAUGACAGUACCGGGAGAAUAAGCUCCGGCUAACUCCGUG
rnacentral:rRNA from 1 species